GCAAGUGAUGACUUAACUUUCUUCACUUUGACCUGAGUUAAUUAGUGAUGAUAGCCAUCUCUCUGAGC